rnacentral:lncRNA from 1 species
UACAUGAUUAGGGUGAAACCCUAAUAACCCAUGACCUUUCCUUUUCCAAGGAUCCAUGGGUUAAAAGCUCCAUGGAUCAUCCAUGGACUUCCAUAUAAGCCUAGCCCAUUAACAAAUGAGUAUUAGCCCACACCAUAUAAAACAAUAGCCCACAAUUUAAUUAGUCUUCCUUUUAAUCUCUAAAUUAAUUCAUAAUUAAUUUAAGACUAAGACUAAUUAAAUAACAUGACUUCAUAUUACUAUAUUAUAACUUAUAAUAUAUUAAUAAUCAUAUGUGUAUAACUCUCAUAAAAUUAUCCAUAAAUAGUUUGGAUGAAAUGCAACCCAAAUGGACCAUGCCGGGUCGGGUCAAGUAUAUACCAAAUAAGUUAUGGACUUAGACACCUUAUCCAACAGACUCCCACUUGGAUAAGUCUAAUAACUAUAUUUGCGUAUGUUACUUCAGGAACCAACCAGCAAUCGUAGCUCUCGAAAACUCUGUUGAACUAUGAAGCGCCAUUUUAGAUAAGUGAUCAUAUAAUCCUCUGUUCUCAUGAUAUCAGCCGGACAAAUACAUGGAACAACGUCGUACUUAUUGUCCAGCAGUUUGUUUCCCGAUUUUCGAUUUGUUUGACAAAGAACUUAAUCGAACACAUCAAUUUAGUUCUGACCGGCCGGUACAUAGGUCACAACAAAAUCAUCGAGGGGCCCAGAUAUCGCUUCUAUUUCUAGAAGGAACAGAUAAACUUCGACUCAUAUGCUUGUUCUACUACUUGUUGAAUUGUACACAAAGGCACGUUUUAUAACAUCAAGUUACUGAUGCGUUUACGUGCAAUCAAUGCACAACCAACUCAUAGGUAACAACUCAUAUCUCUAGGUUUGAAGAUUUAUAUGAUAUUACCGUCUCACGAUCACUCGAGAUAAAUUCCAUGAAGUGAUACAAGUGAGCGUGGGUUUAUUCCAAUACUCAUAACUUAUGAGCACUCAUGAAUGUUGUAGCAACCAUUGCUAUGACUAAACCCAUUUAGCCAUCUACAAACUCGAUUCAUGACAGUCUUGAUUCAUACCUACUUCCAACAUAUGAACGACUGUGGAGUGUUUAAAUAACUUAGUCAUUCGGAAAGAAUAACCUAGCUAUUUUGGAAGUCAAAACAUGCAAAGUGAAACACAAUAAUAAUCGAAUCCAAUAUGGUCUCAGAACCCUUUUGAAUAUAAAUAGAACCACCUUUUAUUUAUCACCAUAUUGAUUACACAUUAUUCAUUGUAUAAUGUUUCAAACAAUCAACUUAAGACUUGAAUAAAAACAACAGUCGUCCCAUGCUCCUAGCAUGUACACUUUGUUUUUCUAAACAAUAGUUAUGCCAUACUCCAAGUAUGCACACUAUGUUUGUCUAUGAUCCUUACAUUGUGAUGUAGAUCAAUUGAACAUGAUUCCAAUGAUACUCAUUUCACAAUCCCAAAUCCUUAUUGUAAAUGUGAGAAUCCCCGAUUCCUAUCAUUUACCAAAAAAACUGUUAGAUUUUAAACUUUUAUGCAAUGUUCCUCUUGUAAUGAUUAUGCACAAAGUCACCAAAACCUUGUCACCAGUCAUUACAGAGUAUUCCAAAGAAGGUCAACUUCUAUGGAACGGAAGUCUCAUAUUCAAAGUACAUUGCUUUGAACAUCCUUCUUGCAUUAAGGUUUUCUAAUCUUACAUAGAUUGAAUAACUUCCACCUAUGGAGACAUUUCCAUAGUCCCAUUUUGACUAUCACUUCCGAACAAGAGUUACUUCUUUUCAGAAUAUGUCAAUAUGGUCCUUUCCGACAACUUACAUCAUACUUCCAACUUUCCCUGAGCAACCAAUCUUUGGCGAACCUCAGAUUGUCCUCGACAAUUGCUUAAUCACUUUAGUCAUAUCCAGUUCUAGACUUUUCCCUUCUCAAUGCCUUAAGCAUUUGGAAAAUUUAGAAAAGAUGAAUAUUAUAGCACAUGCAAUCGAUCCUAUAUCCGAAGCAUAUGGGACACGAUUCAUGAUGUUUGACAUAAAGACAUGAUACUAGACCAGUCUUUUGCUACAAUAUUUUUUAUUUGCCAUGUUUUCAAAAUUUAACUAUGAAGAGGGAUGCCGUAAUCAUAAUCGAAUUUUGAAAACGCAAUAUAUAUAGAAUUUCUUCAAGUUGAACCAUUCCAACAUAAAAUUCAUAUAUAUAUUCUUGACUAAAGAUGAUUAAAAUCUCAAUCUAAGCUUUAGAAUUGAAAUGAAGUAUAAUUUCCUCUCCCUUAAUUAUAGCAAAACAACUUUUCAACCCCUGCAACUUCACGAAUUGAAACUUUGUUUUCUAUAAUUAACAUUGCUAACUUGCAACACUAAACGUAAUAAUCAUGCUCCCACUAACAUGAUGAUUAUCAGCAUAACACUUAUGCUCCCACUAGCUCUGACAUAUUUCCAGAAAUCUGCUGGACUUCUGAAAUUUAGAUUCAUACACCCUUUCUUAGAUAGCUCACAUGUGUGUCUAAACAAUUUUCAGAACUAUGAAAAGGGAUGCCGUAAUCAUAGUCUCAAUUGCUUAGGCAUUUGCCAUUUCUCACAAGUCCAUGUUAGUGUGCCGGUUAACCACACGCGCUCCACUAACGACUUUUGAAAAUGCAAAUAACACAAUUGAUAUCUACGUAAAAUCUACUUAGUGAAAGCGUUUCCUCACCAUCAUUUUCAUGAAUCGGAGAGAAACCUUAUGACACUUAGAUUUUAUAGUGUAUGAGUUCCUAUCCAUGUGAAUUUGUCAAAACCAUAAUCACAAGAUAAGGUUAGUGACAAAUUCAGCCUUACAUGGAUUAAACUUGUUCAAUCUUAGUUUCUUGUCACCUUGGUAGCACAAGGCCCACCAAUGCUUCCAAGUUGAACUCUGAUAACUCACAUGCAAAUUCAACUUAUUUGAAGUAGGUACAGAAAUAAGAAUUAUGUCAACACGAUAGGUUGCAAACCUUAAGUCGUGUGCUAGUGAUAAAUUACAGGUUUUACUCUUGAUUAAAUCUUGAAACUCUUUCAGGAUCUUUAAGGCUCCCACUGUCCCCUUGACAUAUAAGUUUCCCCAGUCAAGAACCAUUCCUUGACAAAACAAAUAUUCAAGGGAUAGUGCGGAUUCUUAUCAAGACUAACACUUCACACAAUUGGUCUUAGUUGGUCUUUGUCUCAUCCAAGACAUCACAACUUACCAAUCUCAAAUGUACAAGAGUAGAAAACAUUUUACUCUUACAUUUGACUAGUGUUAAUAAAUCUUCCUUUAUGUCACUCAAAGUUACAAUCUUGGAGUAUGACUCUAAGAAUUGUUUUGGAACGAAGUAUGACUCAUCUUCUUGAUUUUAACCAAUCCAACAAUUCAUGACCUCUCUUCUUAGCCAUAACAAUGCACUAAGACGUCCUUAGAGUAUGAAUUUGUGAUAUGGUUUCAUAAUCAUUAAGAUGAUCAUGAAAUACGAUACUAAAGUACUCUCCCAUCCUUUCAGAUUUGAGAAACUUUUAUCUUUCUGCCUAAUUUGAUUCUUCUCAUUUGUUUUGUCAUACAUUGUAACCUUUCCAAUGUUACAGAAUUAUACUUAACCUCAUAAGUAUAAUCAUAUUUACUAAUCUUUAGUAAAUCAUGACAAAUCAAUCUUUGUGGUGGACCUUGACCAGCGCACACCCAGUGUACCUAAUUCCUUAGUCCUUCAAUUGACUCACAUAUACAUGUGAUCAAAGAAUUAGUCUUAAUUUUCAAAGAUGAAAAUUCUCAUUCAUCAUACAAUACAACUUGUAUGAUUCCAAGUUUCUGUCCAAUUGAAACUUGGGUGAUGAAAAACUUUCUUCAUUUGGUAAAUUCAGACACUACCACAAAUGAAAGAAUCAAAUCCACUUUCCAAUAUUGCUAUUACUGGAAACAUAUAAGCAACAAUUUUCCACAGAUGCCAUUGUAAGGAUAUUUUUAAAAUAAAUAAAAUUAAAACCCUUUUUUUUUUUUUUUUUAAAACUUUGCGGAAAAACUUAUCCUUACAAUCCACAUGAAAACCUUGUUGUUAUCUAUUCAUAAGCAAUAUAUUAUAACUCUUAAGCAACAGCUCAAAAUUCUGAUUACCGAACCAUGCGAUCGAAACCCACCUUCGCAAUCAGAAUCAACAUAUACUUACUUUAAGCUUCCUAUCUUUUCUUUGAUUCUUAAAAACAUCAGCAUGUGACCCAUUCACAUUAUGUAAUAAGAAUCUCCAAAUAGGAACUUAAUAGAGUUAGACAGUGGACUUUACCCGAAGUAGAGUCAAACCUCUUGACUUGAUCAACCUUAUGACCUUUCAGGUGAAUAGGGCAGCUUCGCAACCAAUGCCCCUUCCUUUGGCAACAAAACACAUGGACCCUUUGGUAAUGGCACAUGAGACUAUCUCAGACUUAGCCUUUCUCUUUACCAUUUGGUCAACCGAGUUGACUAUGGCCGAUCCCUUUCCAUUGGGAAGAGAAAUCCUUUUCUAGAUAUCCAAUGCUACCAUUGUCAAUGUCCAUUUAAGACUUGGGAAGUUGUUCUUUUAAUCAAAUUUGCUUUACUGGUGUUCCAAAUCAUUGCUGAUUCCACAACACCAAGCAAAUAGAUAACAUCAUUAAGGGUCAUGUCAUAGUCUGUCUCAUAGUAGUCCCAAAGAGACUCACUAUGUUACUAAGAAAGUGAUUGAACAUCCAACUUUCACGAGACUUUGACACCCAACUCUCCCGGCUUGUCAAUAUGUGACUUUAUCUCCAAGAUGUGAGCACACAUAGACUAUGCUUGCCAAUAGGGAUUGAGUGACUUUAAACUUUUCAAGAACUUGUGGGUGAGGGAGAAUAAUUGGAGGAGGUGGAGGAAGUGAAGCAUGAUGUUGAGGGACACCAUCUUCAAGAGAUUUGGGAAGAUCAUAGUUGUCUGAACCAGACAUCUAUAAUGGGAGAAAAUCAAGUUAGUUGAUUCAAAGUCCUUAAUAUAACACCCAAUAUGAAAUAUUAAGGCUAGGACCCAACACAAUAUUUUAUAAUUUGGAAGAGGGAUGCCGUAAUCCAAGCUAUAAAAUAUUUGAAGGUAGGCGAAUGACGAUUCACCAAUUUCCACCAUGAAAAACGAAAUAAUUUAUUAGGUUUUAAUUGGAUUUGAAAUUCCUAGAUCUUUUGAGAUUCAUUGAACUUUUCAAUGGCAUGUUUCAAUCUCGAGUGUGCCCUCUCAAAUUUUGUGACUGGGAUGCCGAGGAUCACAAAACAAGGUGUGAAUAACCAUACCAAUUCACUUGGUACCCUUAAUAUUAUCACCUAAUCAAUGUGCCGGUUAACCACACACGCUCCAUUGAUCUAUGACAAACAUUAAGUCACCCUUCGUGAUCCUUACUAGUCCAAGUUAGUGUGCCGGUUAACCACACACGCUCCACCAACGACUUGGUAAGGUACAAAGUGUGAAUUCCAUGGGCUAGCACCAAAUUCACAUUUUUCCUAAAGUAACUAAGAUUGGGAAUUAAAUAAAAAAUUUUUAGUUACUUUAUAAUAAUCAUUAUACUUUUAAUGAGAAUUUAAAGUCAUUGUCCUACCCGUUCGGCUAACGACCCUCCACCGAUCAAGCAAGCGGUGGGUGAGAGUGGACACCCAUUAAGUCGCCAUUUUAUAGGCAACAACCUUAUACCCACCUUAUAGACCGGCUUCGUGAAUGAGGCCUACUAACGGUAAAACGACUUGUUCUUAUACAUAUAUAUAAUAAUUAACCAUUAAUGUUAUAAAUAGUAUAAGUGUUGAAUUUUAACUUUUAAAACUCUAAGUGUUGGAAUUAAAGUUUAUUAAAGUGUGUGAAACUUUUCAAAUUCCAAAACUUGAGGGCAAGUUUUGUAACUAUCCAAAACUUUUCAUUUCAUAACUUAUGAAUUAAAGGUUCAUAAAAAUGAAGACUCUUCAUUUUCAUGUAACUUAUGUGUUUAAAUGUGUGUGUUAAAGAAAAGUGACCUUUGGAUAUCCAUAACUUGAGGACAAAUUAUGGACUCCAUUAAAACACAUAAAUGAUCAAGAAUUAAUUCUAAACAAUUCAGCAAAUAAUUCCUAUCAUCUUCUAAAUUCAUAAGAACAUGAACAUGAUCAUCAAAAUUUCAAGAAUUAUAUGAACACAUAAAAAUCAUGGAAUUUUGAUAUAUGCUAUUGUAAAUGGAUUAGAACAACCAUUACACCAACUAAAACAAGUUUUAAAACACCAAAACAGUUUAGGGUAAUGUUUCUAGUCCAUUUCCAGCAGCAAAAGUCGAAAUUCUGCAUUCUGAUCAUUCUACUCGCCGAGUGCACGAACCUACUCGCCGAGUAGGAUGAAUUUUGCCUUGAACUCGGCGAGUCCCCCCAUGGACUCGGCGAGUCCAUCAGCCAGACAGCAACAAUUUCAACUUUUUUCACUAUUUUGCAUCAAGUAUCAAACAAGCAAGCCUAGGCUCUGAUACCACUGUUGGGUUUUGAGCAAUCUAACACUUCCUAAGUGUGCAUGCAACCCUAAUAAACCUUGGAUCUAUGUUUGUCUAAAUACAUGCAAAAUAAUAAUUUUCCAAGGUUCAUAACCUAUCUAACAUGGCAUGGGGUACUUUUAAACAUAAAAGAAUUAGAUGAGAUUACAUACCUUUUGAUGAUGAGUUCAAUUCCUAAGGAGUUUGAGGGCCAAGAACCAAUAAUGUGAAUGCCUCAAAUGGAAUCACAAAUCACCACAAACUCUUGGAAAACUUUGAGAGAGUGUAUACACACUUAUAAAGUCGGCCACACACUAACACACAUACUCUAGUAACACUAGUCACACUAGUGGCCAUUUCAUGCAACAUAAGCAUGCUUAUAUAGUGUACAUGAUUAGGGUGAAACCCUAAUAACCCAUGGCCUUUCCUUUUCCAAGGAUCCAUGGGUUAAAAGCUCCAUGGAUCAUCCAUGGACUUCCAUAUAAGCCUAGCCCAUUAACAAAUGAGUAUUAGCCCACACCAUAUAAAACAAUAGCCCACAAUUUAAUUAGUCUUCCUUUUAAUCUCUAAAUUAAUUCAUAAUUAAUUUAAGACUAAGACUAAUUAAAUAACAUGACUUCAUAUUAAUAUAUUAUAACUUAUAAUAUAUUAAUAAUCAUAUGUGUAUAACUCUCAUAAAAUUAUCCAUAAAUAGUUUGGAUGAAAUGCAACCCAAAUGAACCAUGCCGGGUCGGGUCAAGUAUAUACCAAAUAAGUUAUGGACUUAGACACCUUAUCCAAUAGACUCCCACUUGGAUAAGUCUAAUAACUAUAUUUGCGUAUGUUACUUCAGGAACCAACCAGCAAUCGUAGCUCUCGAAAACUCUGUUG